rnacentral:lncRNA from 1 species
GAAAUUACUUGAAAGUGGUUGGAAAAAAGAGAAAAACAGAAGGAAUCUGCAAGAGAGAAAAAAAAAAUCAAAAUUGACAAGUUGCAAGUUGGAGUCGAAGCAGGGAAUUGCUUUUAUAAAUCUUCAUUAUAUAAGGGUACCAAGUUGGAGAAAUGAUAGGUGUUGGGGUGAGUAUGAGAUGGACUUGAGAAUGAUUUGGUUGAGGGAAGUCUUUGAGGAAAAAUGGAGAACUUAUCUACAUCUAUUUCAAUUUUGUUGGUUUGAGUUUAAAUUGAUUUUACUAGG